GAGUUUGAUCCUGGCUCAGAACGAACGCUGGCGGCGUGGAUAAGACAUGCAAGUCGAACGCGAUUUUCUCGGUUAGCAAUAACUGAGGAGAUUGAGUGGCGAAUGGGUGCGUAACACGUGGGAAUUUAUCCGGAAGUGGGGGAUAGCUCGUCGAAAGGCGAAUUAAUACCGCAUAUGCCUGUAAGGGCAAAGUGGGGGACCGUAAGGCCUCACGCUAUCGGAGGAGCCCGCGCCCUAUCAGCUAGUUGGUGAGGUAAUGGCUCACCAAGGCUUAGACGGGUAGCUGGUCUGAGAGGACGACCAGCCACACUGGAACUGAGACACGGUCCAGACACCUACGGGUGGCAGCAGUCGAGGAUUUUUCUCAAUGGGGGCAACCCUGAAGGAGCGACGCCGCGUGGAGGAUGAAGGGCUUCGGCUCGUAAACUCCUGUCACCGACGAACAAGACAUCCGGAUUAAUAACUCGGAUGUUUGAUGGUAGUCGGAGAGGAAGGGGCGGCUAACUCUGUGCCAGCAGCCGCGGUGAUACAGAGGCCCCAAGCGUUGUUCGGAUUUACUGGGCGUAAAGGGUGUGUAGGGGGUUAGGUUAGUCUGACGUGAAAUACCGUUGCUCAACAACGGAACUGCGUCGGAUACUGCCUAGCUAGAGGUUCGGAGAUGAGGGCGGAAUUCUCGGGUGUAGCGGUGAAAUGCGUAGAUAUCGAGAAGAACACCAGUGGCGAAAGCGCUCUGCUGGGCCAUAACUGACGCUCAUGGACGAAAGCCAGGGGAGCGAAAGGGAUUAGAUACCCCGGUAGUCCUGGCAGUAAACGGUGCUCAUUAGAUGUAGGCGGAUUCGACCCCGCCUGUGUCGAACCUAACGGAUUAAAUGAGCCGCCUGGGAAGUACGGUCGCAAGAUUAAAACUCAAAGAAAUUGACGGGGGCCCGCACAAGCGGUGGAGUAUGUGGCUUAAUUCGAUGCAACGCGAAGAACCUUACCUGGCCUUGACAUGCUUAGUUCAGGCGUAGAAACACGCCGGCCCGCAAGGGCGAUUUGCACAGGUGCUGCAUGGCUGUCGUCAGCUCGUGUCGUGAGAUGUUGGGUUAAGUCCCGCAACGAGCGCAACCCAA
rnacentral:rRNA from 1 species